rnacentral:rRNA from 1 species
UACGGGGGGGGCAAGCGUUGUUCGGAAUUACUGGGCGUAAAGGGCUCGUAGGUGGCCAACUAAGUCAGACGUGAAAUCCCUCGGCUUAACCGGGGAACUGCGUCUGAUACUGGAUGGCUUGAGUUCGGGAGAGGGAUGCGGAAUUCCUGGUGUAGUGGUGAAAUGCGUAGAUAUCGGGAGGAACACCAGUGGCGAAGGCGACUACCUGGCCUGGUCUUGACGCUGAGGCGCGAAAGCUAGGGGAGCAAACGGG